rnacentral:rRNA from 1 species
AUUCAAAUAACCCUGAAACAAAUGCUUAGGGAUUUUAUUGGUAUCAGGGUUAAUCGUGCCAAGAAAAGCGGCAUGGUCAAUAUAACCAGUAGUGUUAACAGUCGGGAGAGGAGUGGCAUUAACACCAUCCUUCAUGAACUUAAUCCACUGUUCACCAUAAACGUGACGAUGAGGAGAUCGGAAGAGCGGUUCAGCAGGAAUGCC